rnacentral:rRNA from 1 species
UACGGAGGGUGCAAGCGUUGUCCGGAAUCACUGGGCGUAAAGGGCGCGUAGGCGGCUCAUGAAGGCUGUGGUGAAAGUCCGGGGCUCAACCUCGGAUCGGCCGUGGCGACUCGUGGGCUGGAGCACUGUAGAGGCGGGUGGAAUUCCGGGUGUAGCGGUGGAAUGCGUAGAGAUCCGGAAGAACACCGGUGGCGAAGGCGGUCUGCUGGGCGAGUUGGCUGACACUGAGGCGCGACAGCGUGGGGAGCAAACAGG